CAUAAAUUUCGGUAUUAUCUCCUCCAAAGCCGCUAGCCAAAAAUUUAUAUUGCCGUCAUUCGUCACCGUCUUUGUUCCGCUGAACUUGUUGCGACCACCACCUAGCGGCCACCGUUUUCAUCUAGGAUUGUCCCGGUUCCGGUUCGAUCUCUUCCGAUAAGAAGAUUUCGUUGAGCACGUCGGUGGACCUUUAACUUGAGACUUUAGAUGUUCUAGACACUCGUUCAGGUAAUUUGGGAAUCGUGGGGAAUAAGUGAAGAGUGUCGUGAAGAUAAAGAUUUAUUUUUAUAUUCGGUAAUGUAAUGAAAAAGAAAUUAGGGUCUUUUGUUUACAACGUCAUGGAUUGGUUUUAGUUUUGAUAUCUGUAUGAGUGACACGUCAGCCUGUUCAGGUUGGGGUGUUACAAUUAUGGUAUCAGAGCCAAGGCUCUUUCUUGUAGAAAACUUAAACAAUAAUAAUUAAGCAUGUGAG